AAUCAACGCUGGCGGCGUGCCUCAGACAUGCAAGUCGAACGCGAAAGUUUCCUUCGGGAGACAAGUAGAGUGGCGCACGGGUGAGUAACACGUAGGUAAUCUACCUUUGGAUGGGGAAUAACAACCGGAAACGGUUGCUAAUACCGCAUAAUGCAGCGGCACCUAAUGGUGACAGUUGUUAAAGCGGGGGAUCGAAAGACCUCGCGUCUAAAGAGGAGCCUGCGGCGGAUUAGCUAGNGGUAAGGUAAUGGCUUACCAAGGCUACGAUCCGUAACCGGCCUGAGAGGGCGGUCGGUCACACUGACACUGACAUACGGGUCAGACUCCUACGGGAGGCAGCAGUCGGGAAUUUUGGGCAAUGGGCGAAAGCCUGACCCAGCAACGCCGCGUGAAGGAU
rnacentral:rRNA from 1 species